rnacentral:ncRNA from 1 species
AAAAAUGCGUUUGAGCGAGAAGAGUAAAUAUUUAAAUGUUCUCAGGGAUUGUAAGCCAUAGACUGGAAGCUUACAUAACAGAUUUAACUAUUGAAGUUCACCUCGCAAGCAGCUUCCGGGACCAGCGUUUUGCUGUAAAGGAAGGCCGGCAGAAAAGUCGUUAUGUAAAUGAAGUGAUUGCAAUUUUUGCAUUAACUAGGGUGGUACCGCGAAUAUUCCUCGUCCCUUUU